rnacentral:rRNA from 1 species
AUGGCGGACCACCAGCAGCUGCUCCCGUCGUUGACGUGCAGGUGCAGCAACUGCGCCACCGAGCGCGCCGUCGUCUUCUGCUUGGCCGACGGCGCCAGGCUCUGCCUCGAGUGCGACGGCGCCGUGCACGGCGCCAGCGACCUCGCGGGCCUCCACUCGCGCGCCCCGCUCUGCGACGCCUGCUGCGCCGCGCCCGCCGCGCUCCGCUGCCAAACCGGCGCCCACCGUGCCACGCUCUGCGCCGGCUGCGCCGACGGCCGCGGCGGCGCCUCCCUCGUGGAGGUUUACACCGGCUGCCCCGCGCCCGCCGAGGUCCUCCGCACCCUCUCCGUCGACGCGCCGUCAUCGUCGCAGGAGGACUUCGACGCCUGGCUCGCCCACAACCUCCCCCAAAUCCUACAGGAUGUUCAGAUCUACGAUGCGAGUGGCACAACAACAAUAGUAGGAGAUCAAAGAGGCCCCAGCAGCAGUAGCUUCGUCUGUGAUGAUUGGAACAAUGGCUGCUCAACUACCUGUGCUCCACAAUGUUCUGUGCUUGAGAAUACUAAUGGAGUACUUGUUGGUCAUCACUUAGCUGGGCCUUCACUCACUUUUGAGCAACAGCAGCAGCUGCCACCGUCAAUCUGCCACAUCUCAUCAUCUUACAACCCAUCAACAUUAUCGUGCCAGCCGACCAUGACAUCGACUACUCUUCUGCAAUCCAUGGGCAACGAUCAUCAUCCAUCGCUGCUCCUUGAUGACUUCCCUACUUUCUACCCUGCCUUGCCCCUAAUAUCGCCGCCGCCACCACCGGAGAAUGGCACUGGCUGUCAUGAUGCCAACCAGCCAUCACAGAUGCUGACCGCAGAUGAGCAAGCAGCGGUGGCUCAUCAUCAGCAAGAUCCGAGCACCGUUAGUAAGAAGAGAGAGGAAAGGGACAGGGCCAAGCAAAGGUACAACGAGAAGAAGAAGAACAGGAAGUUCUGCAAGCAGAUCAUGUACGCGUCCCGAAAAGCAAGGGCGGACACACGAAAGCGAGUCAAGGGCAGAUUCGCCAAGGCUACCAAUGAGCACCAACACAUACUACACUCAGAUGCAGCAUAA